CAACAGUUUCUUUUCGACUUCAGAUCUAAAUUCACAGCUGGUACGUUAAUUUAAUCCAAUGGCACAAAGUUGUGAGAACAAAAACUGGAGUACGUGAAAGGCUUCCCGAGUUCGAAGGAUGGAUUGCUCGGUUCUGUGCACCAACAGAGCAGCUUCCGUGUCGAAUUCUUCGUCGCAGGACUCGCAUUUACGCGAUACUGCCUUCUCAACGACGGUUUUAGGCACUUCGAGUUGCUUGGCUGGUAUCGUCUUCACGAUUUUCGCUCUGGAAACAUAGAACAGGGUUUAAGCAGACCUAAACAGCUAUUCAAGGUCGCGCAGAACGAAGACAUCAACGGGUUAAUUUGAAAAUGUUAGAACGGAAACAGCGAGAAGAUAAUGCUUCCUCGGAUAUUCUUGUGUUCCUAUGCGAUGAUUCUUUGAUGGCUGGUCGAAGAAAAUGUUUACUGAUAGAUGAUGAAGCUACUUACUGAACGAAGCUGGUCAAGCUGCAGGAAAUGAUUGGAUUUCUUGAUGAGGAAUGACAAACGUUGCACAGAGACACAGCUACAAAAAUGCUGAAUGAUGAUAAUUCUGAUUUUGAAAUUUUUCUUAUACUUCAUACACGUGGUACUAUUUUUGUUCAUGAUGUUGAAGAACCAUUUAUUUCAGAGAUUUUCAUUCAUAAUUAUUCGCUGAAUAGAAUAUAAAACGGAAUGUUUAUUGCAUCGUUUAUUUUUAUGAAGUUGCUUACAAAAAGAUGUUGCACCUGCUCCAAAUAAUUAACAAUAAUUCGAUGUAUCGUGAAAAUUAGGGCGGUUGAUAAUUAGUUGUACAUGCAUUCGAGGAAUAUAUUAUAUUUUAACACGUUGAGCGUCAAAUUUUUAAUUAAGUUGAAUGCUGUGCAGAGUCAUUAGCACUGCAAAUUAGGAAUACCAAAUAAUUAAAAAGAAAAUAAUAGAAAAAUAUUAUUUUAAAUGGCACUAAUUAAAAGCUUGCAAUUUGAGACAAUCAACGUGUUAAUUAUAGAAACUUCUAAUUAUGUGGAAGUGUUAAUUACUGUAGGCUUCCCGAGGAAAAGUGGCGAUGUAGGGAAGGUGAUCCUCCAAUAUAUAGUCUUUAGCCUCCCACCACUUUAAAUUGAUAUUUAUGUUACUAAAUUUUAUAACAUUUAAUAAUUAAAAAUUAUAUCAUUUUUCUUUCUAAUUUAUAUUUAUACUUUUAAUAUUAAUAUUUUUAAAAUAUGAUCCUGAGAAUUCCUACUUCUCCUAUAUGGCCAUUUGCCCUAGGGAAGCCUACUUUGCUCGAUACUGCACGUUUAGUUAACAGUAUGGUCAUAUGGCGUUCAACGUGUUAAUUACCUAAUUAAAAAUGACGAAUUUAGACUUUCUUUCUCAUUAAUUGAUGCAAAUAAUUCUAUCUACACUUAAUAAUUCACUAAAGCGACGUAUUACUAAUAAUUAUCAACUACAAUAAUAAAAAAAAAAAUUGUUUCUCUUUGCUUCGCACGAGGUGCAAGUAGAAGCCACACAUCAAAUAAGCUUCUCUCUAAAUUGUCUGAUACGAUUAUAUUUUUCAAUUACAAAUUAAUACAAGUGCAAUUUUACAAUGUUCGAUUAAAAAAAAGAAAAAAAAAAAUAGAAUUAAUUCCUAGGAUAACUAUUACGUAUGCUGUUUCUCGUACAUUUAUUAACAUAAUUGAAGACACUAUCACAAAUUGAAGUACUGGUUCUAUUUUAAUAACGAUUGUUCUUGCACUUAACUUAUUUGCACGUAUCAAAGCAUUAAGAGUGCUAUAGUUGGCUGCCUGAUAAGUUCAAAAUGUAUGACACUUUACAUUUAUCGAUUUUACAACUUGCUGUAUAAUUAUUCCUUAAUUCGGAUGCUAUAAAUGCACAUUAUUCCAAAUGCAUCGCGUAACAACUAAGGCACUAUCAUAUACAUUGUGUGUGUGCAUUUAUUUAAUCAAAAGCACCAUUCGCACGAUUUUAAUAAUUAAAGCAGCAGAUCACGUGUGCGUAUAAAAAGAAAAGAAAAGAAAAAGAAGGACUUUGAGUAUUCGAGUAACGUGACGUAAAAGAAGAUCUUCCAAAGCGUGGACGGUUGUGUGUCGAUAAAAUCAUACUCGUCAAGGAAUUUAUCAUUCGACGCUUGUGCAAGACGAAUCUAAAGUAGAAAUUAUGAAAAUAUAAAGUGUUAACGUCGUAAGAGCUAUUUUACACACUUUUAACCUUCGUAUUCUAUAUAUGCGACUUGCAGUUUUCAUAGGUUUAAAAAAAACAAGCGAAGAAGGUUAAUUUACAAUUAUAUCUAAACGUUAAUUAAAAAAAAAGAAAGAAAAAUGGAAUUCUUAACAGAAUGUAUAUAAUAAUUAUCGCGGUAUAAACUACAAUUUAAUGAAAAUAUUGUCAAAGGCGAGAUUCUAUUAAGAAGCUCGUGAUUUAUAACAAAUUCGACCGAUUUCGAUCAAACUGUGGAAAUUUACAAUUUUAUGUAGCAAUUUGUUGAAUGAAAUAAUAUAUAAAAUUGCGAACAAUGAUCAAAUAUAAAAUUACGAAUGUGACGAAUAAAUAUUCUAAAUGCUAACAAUGAAAUAUCACUGUCAAUAUUUCGAUUGAUCUCGAUUUCAUCGUAUAAAAAUAAACGAACAUCCGAACGAUCGAAUACCUACCCUUGCGAACAAUCUAAACAUCCGUAUCGUUUCAUUCAUUAUUACAAAUAUAAAAGAAAGUUGUAUCUGUAUAUUCAUAAUUAUUUGAAAAAUUGACGAAUUCCUAUGCAGCUGUAAUUUCCAGAAGCUGAAAAUAUACUAUUUUCAAUAUA